GCUGCAUACAUUUGCUCAGCCCCCUCUCCAUCUCCUCCUCUGUUCUGUUCUUCCAGUGCCAUUUCCUCUUUUAAUUAUCCCCAAGCAAAAAGAUGGAGCACAUCAGACGCAUCGGUAAAUCCCGGUUCUGGCUCGAGCUCAUAGCAGUUCCUGCGUCCGCGUCUGGCAAUUCCGAUAGAGAGCGCGCGCUGGCAGUGACAGAGAGAGAGAAUCCGCCUGGAGAUUUUUUUACGGAAGAAUGGGGAGGAUGAUCUCUCAGCAAAACAGGUCUUCGCUCUCUUUCCCGACGUGGGCGGCUUUGGCUAGCACUGUCUGAUCACGCUGCGUUUUCAACACCAGAUUAGCGAAUUCUGAAGAGAAGACUCCAUCAAAUUCAUACAGACCCCUUGUUUACACCUCAGCAGAGUCAGCACGGACAAUGAUCCAACACACCUCCAGGCUGUGUAAGGACUAUUUGACCAAGAAGGAGAGUGAUGGAGUGCUGCAUCAGAUGACCUGGCCUCCAAAAUCACCCGACCUCAACCCAAUUGAGAAGGGAUGAGUCAGACUGCAGAGUGAAGGAAAAGCGGCCAACAAGACUGUUGGAAAAGCAUUCCUCGUGAAGCUGGUUGAGAGAAUACCAAGAGUGUGUAAAGCUGUCAUCUAGGCAAAGGGUGGCUACUUUGAAG
ensembl:lncRNA